CCCUCGAUAGCUCAGUUGGAAGAGCGUGAGACUGUAAUAGGUAAACGCGUGCUCAGCUGUUGGGUCACGUGCCUUCGGGCAUCUCAAGGUCGCUGGUUCGAUCCCGGCUCGAGGGA
rnacentral:tRNA from 1 species